UAAUCAAACUUGAUAAUAAUGCAU
rnacentral:snRNA from 1 species